rnacentral:tRNA from 1 species
GCUAGCAUAGCUCAGCGGUAGAGCAAUCCUUUCAUAAGGGAGAGGUCGGGGGUUCGAAUCCCUCUGCUAGCA